rnacentral:rRNA from 1 species
UACGUAGGAUGCAAGCGUUGUCCGGAUUUAUUGGGCGUAAAGAGAACGUAGGCGGCCAUUUAAGUUUGGUCUUAAAGACUGGGGCUCAACCUCAGGAGUGGAUCGAAUACUGGGUGGCUAGAGGACGUCAGAGGAAGGUGGAAUUCCCAGUGUAGCGGUGAAAUGCGUAGAUAUUGGGAGGAACACCAGUGGCGAAAGCGACCUUCUGGGACGUUCCUGACGCUGAGGUUCGAAAGCUCGGGGAGCAAACAGG